rnacentral:lncRNA from 1 species
AGAGCAGGGGAGAGAACGGAGUUUAUGAUGCCCCAGAGGCAACAGCCCAGCCCACAGCAUUUUGGCAUCCUUGUGGGUGCACACGAGUCAUCAAGGAACAACUCUGGCUUUGUACUGAGUUUUUGGAAGCUUGAAGAAUGGCUGGACAACAAUGAGUGGAAAAGUUAGGCGUGACAAUAAUGAAAGAAUAGAAAUUCACUGAGGAACCAAGAGGCUUGGAAAUUCCUCUGCAUGUUAAUUUUACUCUAAUGAGCCCAGGAUGGGAAACCAUCAUAAAACAACUGCGUGGCCUUGCUUUGUCACAAGUACUCACCUCCCCUGUUGGAGCAAGAACUCCCUUCUGGAACACACUGAGGAGCAGCCUUCUUCUCGCUCGCUGGCUGUCUGGUUCCUGUGGGGACACUUCUCUCUCCAGGACAGGUCUCCAUGGCCGUUUCUGGAGAAGUUUUAUGUAUUUUUUAAAUCACCACAGAACCCACUCUUUUGUGGGGAGGCUACUGAAAGCUUCAGAGAACUCUCAGGAUAAAGAGUUUAUUUGAACUGAAAGUUGCUGUCAGUGGGCUGCCCUGUGGGGCUGGCUAUUGUGGGGAGACCUGGAGGCACAUGGAGCUACUUCAUCACAGCCUUCAGAGACAGGGCAGACAGACACCGUUUCCUGGGAGGGGCCUACAUUUUAUUUUUGCUUUUCAUUAUACAGGCCUGGAUUUUACUUUCUCAUUGUAGAAGUUUGUGGGAUACAAUGUGAUACUCCAUUACAUGGGUACAAGGUGUAAUGACCAAAUCAGAAUAGUUAGCAUUUCCAUUUCCUUAAACACUUUUUCAAUCAACAUGCAAUAAUUGUGUAUAUUUCUGGGGUACAAUGUGAAAUUUCAGGAUAUGUAUGCAAUGUGUUUUGAUCAAAUGAGCCUAAUUACCUUCCAUCUCCUUAUCAUUACUUUAUGUUCACAGACUUUGAGCUUGUACCUCCUAGUUAUCCAUAAAACAUGGAGCAGGUUGUUGUGAACUACAGUCCUCCCACUGCCCACUCCCAGCGGCACACCUGAACUUAUUCCUUCUGUCCCACUGUAUUUGGAUCUGGUAUUCAACCUCCUUCUUUCCCCCAUCCUCUCCACCCUUCCCAGUAGAAGCCUAUAAUCAAAAAUACUACUCAAGGGGCAGGCAUCGUAGCUCACUUGGUUAAUCCUCUGCCUGCAGCGCCAGCAUUCCAUAUAGGUGCUGGGUUCUAGUCCCGGUUGCUCCUCCUCCAGUCCAGCUGUCUGCUGUGGCCUGGGAAGGCAGUGAAGGAUGGCCCAGGUGCUUGGGCCCCUGCACCCGCAUGGGAGACCAGGAGGAAGUACCUGGUUCCUGGCUUCGGAUUGGCCAUCUGGGGGGUGAACCAACAGAAGGAAGACCUUUCUCUCUGUUUCUCUGUCUCUCUCACUAUCUAACUCUAUCUGUCAAAUAAAUAAUAAUAAUAAUAAUAAAAAAUACUACUC